rnacentral:rRNA from 1 species
CCUACGGGAGGCAGCAGUGAGGAAUAUUGGUCAAUGGACGAGAGUCUGAACCAGCCAAGUAGCGUGAAGGAUGACUGCCCUAUGGGUUGUAAACUUCUUUUAUAUGGGAAUAAAACGUUCCACGUGUGGGAUUUUGUAUGUACCAUAUGAAUAAGGAUCGGCUAACUCCGUGCCAGCAGCCGCGGUAAUACGGAGGAUCCGAGCGUUAACCGGAUUUAUUGGGUUUAAAGGGAGCGUAGGUGGAUUGUUAAGUCAGUUGUGAAAGUUUGCGGCUCAACCGUAAAAUUGCAGUUGAAACUGGCAGUCUUGAGUACAGUAGAGGUGGGCGGAAUUCGUGGUGUAGCGGUGAAAUGCUUAGAUAUCACGAAGAACUCCGAUUGCGAAGGCAGUUCACUGGACUGCAACUGACACUGAGGCUCGAAAGUGUGGGUAUCAAACAGGAUUAGAUACCCGAGUAGUC